AAUCAACGCUGGCGGCGUGCCUCAGACAUGCAAGUCGAACGAGAAAGUCCCCUUCGGGGGAUGAGUAAAGUGGCGCACGGGUGAGUAACACGUAGGUAAUCUACCUUCGGGUGGGGAAUAACCCAGGGAAACUUGGGCUAACACCGCAUAAUGCAGCGGCACCACAUGGUGACAGUUGUUAAAGCGGGGGAUUUUCGAACCUCGCGCCUGAAGAGGAGCCUGCGGCGGAUUAGCUAGUUGGUAAGGUAACGGCUUACCAAGGCGACGAUCCGUAACCGGCCUGAGAGGGCGGUCGGUCACACUGACACUGACAUACGGGUCAGACUCCUACGGGAGGCAGCAGUCGGGAAUUUUGGGCAAUGGGCGAAAGCCUGACCCAGCAACGCCGCGUGAAGGAUGAAAUCCCUCGGGAUGUAAACUUCGCAAGAUUGGGAAGAAUUAGUAGGGGUUAAUACCCCCUAUGAUGACGGUACCAUUUGUAAGCUCCGGCUAACUCCGUGCCAGCAGCCGCGGUAAUACGGGGGGAGGC
rnacentral:rRNA from 1 species